UCAGCCUUUCCACCCUCAGCUUCGCCUCUCAGACCGGGAUGAAGUCAUCGACAUGCACAGAAAGUUCCCCCCAGAACCCAAGCACCUGCUUCCAUCAAAAACCUAUGGGAACAGAUGGUGCGAACAAUCGCAUGGAAAUCGUGCAGUCCCUCUCUUACCUUAUCAUUCCAAUUACAUUCUCCUAAUCUACAAAAUUGAAAGAUAAUACUGCAAGGGGGUGAGUUUUUUCAACUCCAUUUGAAGCAAUCCAAGCUGAAAGAACCCCGUAUUAGAAAUUAGGCUCAGCAGGCAAGCAGAUGCACAGAACAAUUCAUCAUCAGAUCCAGACACACUGUCACUUUCUUCAAAUACCCAACAGACAAGAAUAAAUGACAGGGUUUGCCAGGAAUGAGUCCCACACUGGAGUAACAGAGAAUGAGGAGUGAGUGUCUGCACAAGGACUUUAGGAGCUGAGGACCCACCAGACUGAUUACAUGCAAAACUUGAACCAGUCUAGUCAUGGUAAAGACAAAGUGUAAGAUGAAAGGAAUAGCUGCCUGCAGAGUGAUCCUCAAUAACUGCAUACCACAGGAUAUUGUCACCAGCUAGAAUAGCAUUCAGGAUUCAGGCUAAUAACACAGUGGUAUGGUAUGACUGGGAUACGAAUAUUUUAGAGCACAGCAUCAUACAUAUCAGAAAGCAGACAUCACAGUGAGGAGUACUGCAUUAACACCCCACUUCUGAG